rnacentral:rRNA from 1 species
GAUGAACGCUAGCUACAGGCUUAACACAUGCAAGUCGAGGGGCAGCAUGGACAUAGCUUGCUAUGUUUGAUGGCGACCGGCGCACGGGUGCGUAACACGUAUCCAAUCUUCCCGUUACUCGGGGAUAGCCUUCUGAAAGGAAGAUUAAUACCCGAUGGCAUGUAUUUCCGGCAUCGGAGAUACAUUAAAGAUUUAUCCGUAACGGAUGAUGAUGCGGACGAUUAGCUUGUUGGCGGGGUAACGGCGCACCAAGGCGACAAUCGUUAGGGGUUCUGAGAGGAAGGUCCACACACUGGAACUGAGACACGGUCCAGACUCCUACGGGAGGCAGCAGUGAGGAAUAUUGGUCAAUGGUCGGAAGACUGAACCAGCCAAGUAGCGUGAAGGGUGACUGCCCUACGGGUUGUAAACUUCUUUUGUUUGGGAAUAAAAGACGCUACGUGUAGCGUUCUGCAUGUACCUUACGAAUAAGCAUCGGCUAAUUCCGUGCCAGCCGCCGCAGUAACAC